rnacentral:rRNA from 1 species
AGGAUGAACGCUGGCGGUCUGCUUAACACAUGCAAGUCGAACGGGCGUAGCAAUACGUUAGUGGCGGACGGGUGAGUAACGCGUGAGAAUCUACCUUCAGGACGGAGACAACAGUUGGAAACGACUGCUAACCCCCGAUGUACUGAAAAGGCAAAUAUUUAUAGCCUGAAGAAGAGCUCGCGUCCGAUUAGCUAGUUGGAGAGGUAAAAGCUCACCAAGGCGACGAUCGGUAGCUGGUCUGAGAGGACGAUCAGCCACACUGGGACUGAGACACGGCCCAGACUCCUACGGGAGGCAGCAGUGGGGAAUUUUCCGCAAUGGGCGAAAAGCCUGACGGAGCAAGACCGCGUGGGGGAAGAAGGCUCUUGGGUUGUAAACCCCUUUUCUCUGGGAAGAAAGUUGUGAAAGCAGCCUGACGGUACCAGAGGAAUCAGCAUCGGCUAACUCCGUGCCAGCAGCCGC